GGGCGUAAGGGCGCGUAGGCGGUUUGGCAAGUUUGGUGUGAAAUCUUCGGGCUCAACUCGAAGUCUGCAUCGAAAACUGCCGGGCUUGAGUAUGGGAGAGGUGAGUGGAAUUUCCGGUGUAGCGGUGAAAUGCGUAGAUAUCGGAAGGAACACCUGUGGCGAAAGCGGCUCACUGGACCAUUACUGACGCUGAGGCGCGAAAGCUAGGGGAGCAAACAGGAUUAGAUACCCUGGUAGUCCUAGCCCUAAACGAUGAUUGCUUGAUGUGGCAGGUACCCAAUCCUGCCGUGUCGAAGCUAACGCGAUAAGCAAUCCGCCUGGGGAGUACGGUCGCGAGGCUGAAACUCAAAGGAAUUGACGGGGGCCCGCACAAGCGGUGGAGCAUGUGGUUUAAUUCGACGCAACGCGAAGAACCUUACCUGGGCUCGAAAUGUACAGGAAUCACUUAGAAAUAGGUGCGCCUAGCAAUAGGCCUGUAUAUAGGUGCUGCAUGGCUGUCGUCAGCUCGUGUCGUGAGAUGUUGGGUUAAGUCCCGCAACGAGCGCAACCCUUAUCUCUAGUUGCUACCAUUUAGUUGAGCACUCUAGCGAAACCGCCUCGGAUAACGGGGAGGAAGGUGGGGGAUGACGUCAAGUCCUCAUGGCCUUUAUGUCCAGGGCUACACACGUGCUACAAUGGCCGGUACAAACCGCUGCGAACCCGCGAGGGGGAGCCAAUCGGAAAAGCCGGCCUCAGUUCGGAUUGGAGUCUGCAACUCGACUCCAUGAAGCUGGAAUCGCUAGUAAUCGCAGAUCAGAAUGCUGCGGUGAAUACGUUCCCGGGCUUGCACUCACGCCCGUC
rnacentral:rRNA from 1 species